AAAGAGUAGCCUCCACUCACCACAACUCGAGAAAGCCCAAGUGCAGCAACAAAGAAAAUAAAGUUUAAAAAAAAUGAUAUAGAACAGUGUAUUUUAAAUCAAAUAAUAGGCACUGCAGAGAUAUUUGUGUGUGACUGAAUAAAUAUAUGUAUACCUAGGAUGUAAUGAGGACAGGCUGAGGUUAAAAAAGUAGGUAAGGACUAGACCUCACAAACCCUGUUUAAAAAAAACUGGGGGAUGUAAUUUCACAAAGCCUCACUCACAACUGCGUGAGUAAUUGUUUGCUGGGGAUUAAAAAUGGAAGAAGGGAAACCCAGAUUCAUGAGUGCAGUAGAGGUGGAGAAAAUAGACCAUAGAAAUCACUAAAUGUGUGUUAGAGCCAGGUCACUGGGCCGAUCUUACUUCUUCAGCAUCUUAGCAAAGUGAAUGUAUCUGGUUUAUCUUUUUAUCCCUAGAACUACCAUAGCCCCUGAACCCCCAGACCAAGCCUGGAAAGAAGUUAAUCUUUUGAGAAUUUAAUCAAGCCCUUGAGGAAAGUAAUUUCAGAGUUUCUCCUAGGUCUUAUUGAGGAAAUGACCAUCUUAAAUGAAGUCACAAAGAAAAUUUAAAACUGCAGAUUAUUCUACAAGAUAACAGACUUGGUCUUGUAAAAAAAAGUCAAUGCCAUGGAGGAAAAAGGCAGAGAAACAUUCUGGUUGUGUAGUACACUAUAGCAACUUACUCCCAGAGAAUAUCCCUUUUGAAGACAUUUUACCACACAUACAGAAGCACAAACAAGGGAAAAUUUUUUUUUAAAUAUUGUUAUGCUCAAUAAAACCAUUCAACUUAAACUAAAAAAAACUUUUUUUUUUUUUUGUUUUAAGAAGGCUUGCCCCUCUCAUACCUCCUCUGGCAUGAUUGUGAGGGGAUAGCUUCUAUUGUGAGCACUCUACCCCCGGUUCUAGGGGGUGACCAGCAAAGUUGAGUCUAGGUACUAGCAGAGAAGUCUUUGGGAAGCUAAAGAGUGAUUGCUUGGUAGAGAACUCAGAAGGACAUUAAGACAAAACAAAAACUUUUCCCCAGCAUAUACUGAAAAUAACCUUGAGUGGAGCUUCGAGUCUUAAUGGUGGUUUUAUAUAACAUCAGUCAGCACAUAGGUUCUCAAUGAAUGGAGAUUUGUUACCUCACAGAGUAGUCUGUUCUCCUUUUGAAUUCCCCCAAUCGUUAGGAAGUUAUUUCUUUUAACUGAACCAAACAUUUUCCCCAUGUUAUUCCCACCCAUUGUAUGUAGUUUUACCCUCUAGAAACUUGACAAAUAAGGCUAAUUUCUUUCGUUGGAAUUUUAAAAUCUAAUUUGGCAUGGCUGCCUGGACCUCUUUUAACCUGUAGGAGAAAAUGAAACUGUAACAAGAGUUAAAUUUAUUUGAUGCAGUAGACCAAAAAAAAUUAAAAAAUAAAUUUAUUUGAUGCAGUAGACCAAGUUUUCCACGUGAAGGCAAAUUUUGUCCUGGGAUGUGCCAGUCACUAAAGCCUUUUUAAUGAGGCAAUUCAGUCUGUUCCUAUAAACUGCCAGUUUAUUCUCCUGGAUCUUAAAGGAACACUAGCUCCAGGUGGGCAGGCGUCUUCUGGAAUAAUAAUAAUAACCAAAAUAAUUAAAAACCAGAUUACUGCCCUAGUCCCUCCCCCCUCCCGCAUUCCUAAACCAUCUGCAUAGCUUGUAGAGGAGUAUCAAGAUCAUCCUUCUGAGUUCUUGGGUACUUAUCCUUUCACUGGGCUUCCCUGCUGGCUCAAUUGGUAAAGAAUCUGCCUGCAAUGCAAGAGACAGAGGUUCAGUCCCUGGGUCAGGAAGAUCCCCUGGAGAAGGAAAUGGCAACCCACUCCAGUAUUCUUGCCUGAGAAAUCCUAUGGACAGAGGAGCUUGGAGGGCUACAGUCCAUGGGUUCACAAGAGCAGGACAUGACUUAGUGACUAAACUACCACAUACUGAGAUACUUCCAGGUUCUGCAGAAAGGAGUGACUGUCCACUCGCCGACACUCUGCUUUUCUCUGCUCACUGUUCCCUGCGCUCUGGUUUCAGUAGCUAACGUCUCCACAAGUUUUCCUUCUUCUAGAAAUUUACUCUCUCAGGCAUGUAUGACCUCUACCAUUCUCUUCAUGUUGUGGUUUUACGAAUUUUUAUUAUCAUUGUGUUAUGGCCUCUUGAGGGGAAAGAGAUAAAUAUGCAUUAUCAGUCAGCUAAUUUGAAUCAGAAUUGUGGUUAAAGUCAUAUUUUAAUAUAAAUAAAUCAUACUCUAGAGAUUUUUAGCAUAUUAACAAUUCAGUGAUUUUUAGCCUACUCACAAAGUUGUGUAACCAUCCCAACAAUCUAAUUGCAGAACAUUUUCAUCACCCCAGAGAAGCCACAUACCAUUAGCAUUCACCUAUUUCCCCCACUCUCCUGCCAGCCGUAAUCAAUCACUAAUCUACCUUCUGUCCAUAGAUUUGUCAUUAUUGCUGUUUGUAGAGGGGACGGUACAGAUAGGGAGAAAGGUAAGCUGUCGUCUGGAGGGGAGCUUCUAUUUCUGAUCUCUGCUUAUUGGCCAUCACAAAAUUUGAAGUUAAAAAUCCCUGAUUCUUUGAAGAUUAAUUUCAUUCCAAGAAUUUCUAUCCAAUCUCCAAAGGUAUUCACUUACAGUACCCAUAAACAUAGGUAGGUAGGUAGGUAGAUACCUCAUUUAAUCUUAUUUCAUAACUUUAAUCUUAUUUUGGGGGAAUGAGUGACCCUAGUGUGCACACACAUGCACACACACCCAUCUUGUCCUGAGCUGUAUUUCAAAGCCUUCUUGUCUGGAUUGACAGUGAAGGACACCAAGCUUCAAACACUUUCCUCCAAUUCCCUAAUUCAUAGGUUUUUCAGAUCAGGCUGCCAUACCUGUAUCUUGCUAGUUUUAGGUAAGAUAUCCAAAUGCUAGGUGACAGUAAAGGGUGGCAGUCGGUAGAAUGAACCACGGGGAAUGACUUAGAGAAAACACCCUCUCUGCCUUGUGUACAACCAGAACAUGGAGAGAUAAGGAGGGACAGCAGGUCAGUGAGGAGCGGCUCUUUACUGGGUACUUUUUCUAGUCAGGGCAUCUGGGCCUCCCCAGCACCUCUAUCCCUCAGGAGUGGUCCUUUAUGAUGUUACAGCUCCCCAGAGCCACCAUUGGCUGUCAGGAGUGUCCUGAUGACCAAACAAAGCAGAGCAGGUGUGACUCCUCAUUGUCCUGGGGAGAGGUAUAUAUACAGAGGGCAGCCCUGGCAGACAGCUAGACAACUGAGUGGCUUCAGCAUGGCAAAAGUGACCGAUAAAUCUUGGGAGCCAAAAACUACAAGCACCAGGCGGUGGAAGAAAAGGAAGGCCCUCUCUCAGCCUGGAUCACGAGGCCAGGUGGUGAAGAUAUAUAAGAAGGUAAAAAGACCACUUCAUGUGUGUUCAAGAAAAAAGUACUCCCCAAAAGUUAUAACUAUGAGAAGACAAAAGAGAACAAGAAGGGCCAAGCUUCAGCCAGUCCCAUAGACUGAGCCAAAAGCAGCCAGGCCAGGCCUAACAGCCCCUGUAGAACAACACCACUCUGAGAUAAGACCUAAGCAAACAGCGCCUGCAGAGCAAGCUUCAGAGACCUGAGAACAGUCUGCUAUAUCUAGAGUCCUGGCUGCGGAGAAAUGGCCAACUGCAUAGACACUGGCUCAGACACUGACGUGAAACAUGGGACACAAAUGCUGGUUAUUAAAAUCAGCAGGGUGUGAGAAGCCCCUCAGAAAAAGGCAAUAAAACUAGGCACUCUGUGCAGAAA